rnacentral:rRNA from 1 species
AUUGUAUCCACGAUUGGGGAAUUUUCCGCAAUGGGCGAAAGCCUGACGGAGCAAUACCGCGUGAGGGAGGAAGGCUCUUGGGUUGUAAACCUCUUUUCUCAGGGAAGAACAAAAUGACGGUACCUGAGGAAUCAGCAUCGGCUAACUCCGUGCCAGCAGCCGCGGUAAUACGGAGGAUGCAAGCGUUAUCCGGAAUGAUUGGGCGUAAAGCGUCCGCAGGUGGCUUAUCAAGUCGAUUGUCAAAGGUCCUGGCUCAACUGGGAACAGGCAGUGGAAACUGAAAAGCUAGAGUGCGGUAGGGGUAGAGGGAAUUCCCGGUGUAGCGGUGAAAUGCGUAGAGAUCGGGAAGAACACCAGUGGCGAAAGCGCUCUACUAGGCCUGCACUGACACUCAUGGACGAAAGCUAGGGGAGCGAAUGGGAUUAGAUACCCCAGUAGUCAAUCGUGGAUACAAU